UACGCUUCUUUUUCCACCGGAGCUUGCUCCACCGGAAAAAGAGGAGUGGCGAACGGGUGAGUAACACGUGGGUAACCUGCCCAUCAGAAGGGGAUAACACUUGGAAACAGGUGCUAAUACCGUAUAACAAUCGAAACCGCAUGGUUUUGAUUUGAAAGGCGCUUUCGGGUGUCGCUGAUGGAUGGACCCGCGGUGCAUUAGCUAGUUGGUGAGGUAACGGCUCACCAAGGCCACGAUGCAUAGCCGACCUGAGAGGGUGAUCGGCCACAUUGGGACUGAGACACGGCCCAAACUCCUACGGGAGGCAGCAGUAGGGAAUCUUCGGCAAUGGACGAAAGUCUGACCGAGCAACGCCGCGUGAGUGAAGAAGGUUUUCGGAUCGUAAAACUCUGUUGUUAGAGAAGAACAAGGAUGAGAGUAACUGUUCAUCCCUUGACGGUAUCUAACCAGAAAGCCACGGCUAACUACGUGCCAGCAGCCGCGGUAAUACGUAGGUGGCAAGCGUUGUCCGGAUUUAUUGGGCGUAAAGCGAGCGCAGGCGGUUUCUUAANUCUGAUGUGAAAGCCCCCGGCUCAACCGGGGAGGGUCAUUGGAAACUGGGAGACUUGAGUGCAGAAGAGGAGAGUGGAAUUCCAUGUGUAGCGGUGAAAUGCGUAGAUAUAUGGAGGAACACCAG
rnacentral:rRNA from 1 species